rnacentral:lncRNA from 1 species
AACUGUUAGUGUUUGGCGUUCAAAAAGCAACGAGAACUAUUACUAAAGCUCUCAUUGCUGUGCCCCUUUCUCUUGAGGAUUCAAAUGUUCUCUAAAUAUUUACAGAUAGGCGUGUGUUUGUGUAUAUAUAAUAUUGGGUUUUAAGUGCUGGGUGUUUUUUUUCAAGUGGAGGUUGCUAGUAGGCGUACUGCCACUGCAGCACGUAGCAGCGGAGUCAAAUAUUUCAUGUGCUCACGGAGUGGAACAAAAUCACAGCCCCGUUCAUCCACAGCGUCCUGCAUAAGGAGUUUCUCCCCAAACCUAGUCUGCAGAGGCGAGUAACUACAUAACCUGAGUGGCAACUUAGGGCAUUUGCAAAGACGUGACAUGUUGCCGAAAUGAUCAGGCGAGUCAUGGGUGGGAACUAUCAUGUGAGUUCUUUGCUUUGUUUUCUGCUAUUGUUUUAAAAAUCAUAGAUUUUUUGUUUUCUAGAUUUAGAACGUGGAGACGGCUUCGCCUGGGGUCCAGGACAGGUGGCUUCUGGGUGAAAUGGGAACAGGUCUGCUGUUGGUUGUGCUGGGCGUUCCUGUUAUGAGCAACACUGGGUUACCCUUCCGAAGACUACGGAAAGGAGCCCUUUCCCUGCCAUCGCUGGA